rnacentral:rRNA from 1 species
AGGGAUCAUUGCUGGAACGCGCCCCAGGCGCACCCAGAAACCCUUUGUGAACUUAUACCUUACUGUUGCCUCGGCGCAUGCUGGCCCCCUCGGGGUCCCUCGGAGACGAGGAGCAGGCACGCCGGCGGCCAAGUUAACUCUUGUUUUUACACUGAAACUCUGAGAAAAAACACAAAUGAAUCAAAACUUUCAACAACGGAUCUCUUGGUUCUGGCAUCGAUGAAGAACGCAGCGAAAUGCGAUAAGUAAUGUGAAUUGCAGAAUUCAGUGAAUCAUCGAAUCUUUGAACGCACAUUGCGCCCUCUGGUAUUCCGGAGGGCAUGCCUGUUCGAGCGUCAUUUCAACCCUCAAGCAUUGCUUGGUGUUGGGGCACUGCCUGUAAAAGGGCAGGCCCUGAAAUCUAGUGGCGAGCUCGCCAGGACCCCGAGCGCAGUAGUUAAACCCUCGCUUUGGAAGGCCCUGGCGGUGCCCUGCCGUUAAACCCCCAACUUUUGAAAAUUUGACCUCGGAUCAGGUAGGAAUACCCGC